rnacentral:rRNA from 1 species
CCUACGGGGGGCAGCAGUGGGGAAUCUUGCGCAAUGGCCGAAAGGCUGACGCAGCGACGCCGCGUGUGGGAGGAAGCUUUUCGGAGUGUAAACCACUGUCGGGGGGGACGAAGGUCCAGGGGAGGAAAUGCCCUUGGGAUGACGGUACCCCCAGAGGAAGCACCGGCUAACUUCGUGCCAGCAGCCGCGGUAAUACGAAGGGUGCGAGCGUUGUUCGGAAUUAUUGGGCGUAAAGCGCACGUAGGCGGCCUUGUAAGUCUCACUGUGAAAGCCCGGGGCUCAACCCCGGGAGGCCAGGGGAUACUGCGAGGCUGGAGACAAGCAGAGGUUGGUAGAAUUCCGGGUGUAGCGGUGGAAUGCGUAGAGAUCCGGAGGAAUACCAGAGGCGAAGGCGGCCAACUGGGCUUGUUCUGACGCUGAGGUGCGAAAGCGUGGGGAGC